GUUUGCUGUGAGGUGGGGCAGGGGGAGGGGGAAAGAUUCAGAGCCCCAGGACUGAAGAUCCAUGUGGUCUUGCCGGUGUGCAUUUAUCUGAUAAAGUGCAGGCAAAGUUUGCCUCUCUCCCACCCCCACUCCACCUCCUCUGAGCCUUGACCGGGUCCAGAACGGACUCCGGAUGGCAGUUGUGGAUGCUCAGAGCACAAAAGGUUUCUUGUUUGCCCAAGGGUCUAUCAGUGUUUAAAUAGAACUGGCGGAAGUGCAGGCGCAGCGUAUCAGCAGCUUAUCGGGGCCCACGGUUUCCAUGUACAUUUGCCAGUCCCUCGAGUUUACCCAGCUCCACCAGCACUGAGUUAAAAAUUGCAAGGCCAGGCUCUAUUGCGCCAAGAUAGAGCAAGGGGGACAAGCCAGUUACCAAGUAUAGGGGUGUACGUGUGUCCUGGAGACCCUAUUUGCAUUCUGCCCAUGUAGAGAAGAAAGCUGUAGUGGCCCGUGUGUUAAGAGGCACCCAGAGAGAAUCAAAGCCUGGUUUAGGGAUGCAUCCAGCAGGUGGGAUGUCGCCAGGCCUCCUGGCAGCAGAGGUACCUCUUGGUGCCCUGGCUCUCCAUCUUAAUUUAACAGGUCUGUAGACGGCUCAGGAAGUGCUUAAAGGAGGUGUCAACUGUGAGCACCUUAAAACUGUAUGUAUGCAGUGUUGGCGUUUGCAAAUGUGUCUGCAAGGGUAUUUCUCUGGGAGCCGAUCCAUGACGCACAGGGCUCAAUGUUCCUGUACUGUUUGAGCUACCUCUUCUUGGGAGGAAAUCUUCAGAACAGAUAGAUGGUAGCCUGCUUUAGAAUGAGUCCUUUCCACUUACAAUCAUCACUUCUACUUUCUAAGCACUUGCUCUUUGUCAGGUGCUGUGUUACCUCAUCUCAUUCUCAGAACAAUCUUAGGAGAUAGGUUUUUGGUGUUUUUUGUUUUUUGGUGAGGAAGAUUGGCCCUGAGUUAACAUCUGUGCCAAUCUUCCUCUAUUUUGUAUGUGGGAUGCUGCCACAGCGUGGCUUGAUGAGUGGUGUGUAAGUCCCCACCUAGGAUCUGAACCUGCAAACCCCAGGCCUCCGAAGCAGAGCACAAACUUAACCACUACGCCACUGGGCCUGCCCCUAGGAGAAUGGAAUUUUUACUCCUGUUUUACAGAUGGAGAAACUGAAGCUUAAAGAGUUGUGCAUUGUCCAAGUCACAGAGCUAAGUAAAUGAUAGAGCCUAGCAUCUGAAUCUGGGUUUUCUGAUCCAUAGGUCUCAGCAUGGUGGAAGGCUGUCUCUCACAUUUCAAUAUACUUGCCUGAGCUUUUCAUAUACUUUGGUUCAUUUGUCAGCUGGCACAGAAUUAUCCCCGAUUUCAGCCAUCUAAAAAUCAGCUUCAUGAAUUUUGUCCUAUUAUGUUGCACCUAUAUUAUUAAAUCACUAUUUAAUUAAAUUCUUUUAUUAAAUGUUACUAAGUUUGUUCUUACUUAACCUCAUUCUAAACGAUAUCCAUGAAAUAACCAUUGAUGUGCUGAUUUCAUUUUUCUUGAAUUCACACUAAAAUAAAUACAUAACCAUUAAAAUGAAAGAUGUUAUGUCCUACCUAACAUCAUUUAAGGUACCGUCAAUGUAUUGGUACCACACUUUGAACAAUCCUGAGGUAAGACGUAAAGGCUGCAUGUCUAGAUUGCAGCAGAAUUGUGGGCAAACCAAAAUAGCCUUUACACCCGACCCCGGGCAGGGCCCGGGCCCCAGCCACCGCUCAGUGUCCAGUGGUGCAGGAGCCUCAGAGAGGGGCCUGGGUUCACUCCAGGGAGGAGCUCUUCCAGUGGAGACCAUGCUCUGCAUCUUUCAGGUCCCGUUUUCACUGCUCUAAUAAGGCAGCAGUGCCAAGAAAAAGAAUGUUAUUUAGCUUGCCUUGAGGGGGUUGAAGAAUUCCAGGAACUGGGGCAAGAAUCUGUACUCAAUGGCUGUGUGCUCCUGUGGGACGGAAUUGCUGGGAUAUUGGGGGUUCCGGAAUAAAUAGCCUCACCAGGGGCAGAAUUUGGGUGGUAAGAGGUCCCAGCCUAUGAUGAAUGAGGCUUCCAACUAAACUCUAUUUCUUCCCAUUUCCAUUGUAACCAAAUGUUCAUCCCUAAAUUCCAUCCCCUCUGGGGCAUAAAUUAAAGGGAAAUUUGGAGUCCUAUUGUCUGAAAUUGUGUAUUCAUUUGACCUACAUUUGCUGUGUCUUUAAUACAAGCAGCUAAAGAAUAAUUCCUAAUUUCCUGACUUCGCUGAUAGACCAGAGAUAUGCUAAGACCCUCAGUAACUGACCAUCCUUGCUUUUCCCCCUAAUAAAGUUGCAUUUUACGUGUUUAACUUCCCAGUCUUGGACGUUUAGCAACUUUGUAAUCUGGCAAUCCCUCUCACAGGCAAAUAAGACAAGGAUGGCAGUGUGCUCGUGCCCUGGGGGUGGAUUCCUAGAGUCUGUCUGCGUUCACUGGCCUGGAGAAAUCAGAGAGUGGGAGAGGUUCUUUUUUGAGGAUCAGUUCACUGGUCCUUGGCUCUCUCUGACGAGGCUCACCUGUAGCAGAAGAGUGGCAUUUGUCUGCCCCACAGCUGGUUUGGUUUCUUGAUCAUUCAGACACGCUGAUUGCCUGCCCACCGGUGCUUCAGGCUGUUUCUAUUUCAGAACCAAGAUGUGAAAGAAAAACUUGCCAAAAAGAAAGAAAGAAAAGUCUGCUCUCAGAUUGGGCUGGGCGGUCAGCAUUCUGACUGUCCUCAUCCUUGUGGUUCAGCAGUAGCUGACCCUGAAGACUCCUCUGGGAACCGAUGUAGUUCUAGUCCUGAAAACAGAAUCCCAGCUCUCUGGGGACGCAGUUCCUAGCCUUCCUCUACUGUCAGUACUCCAAAAGGGCACGGCCUGACCAAGGACUCUCAGGUAUGGCACUGUUAAAAAUGUCUCUUGCCAGCUUUCAGCGUCCUAUCCUGUCCUCCACCGCCACCCCGCCUCCCACCUGGGGACUGUGGCUUGAGCUGACAGGAACACCAGGCACACAGGGAAGGCUGCCAGUCGCAGGAGAUUCCGAGGGAGAUAAAAAGCACAUCUUUGACCACUUCUUUACCAAACAGACCCGAGAUGUGUAAUUAAAGGCCCCAGGACUCUGCUGGAAAUAGGUUUAAACUUGAGGUAAUCCCUUCUGGCACUUCCUCUUCCUAAUAACCAUCAACAAAAAUCAAACAAAUCCACCUGGCUCCAGCCAGUGAGUCUGUAACAGAAAGGUCACGGGAGGAGCGAUAAGAGAAGAAAGCAGCCACAAACAGCGUUACUGGAAACACAUGUCGGGACGUGUUAGAAAGUGACUCCUGCCAGGACCAUCCUGGCCUGUGAUGGGCCCACUCUGCUGUCAGGAAACUCAUUUUCCACCACUGAGAGGAACGUAGAUGAGUCUGGGGAGCCGCCGUGCCUUCCUCUCUUCUCUCUGUAAGAUGUGACUCAGCCAGAGAGAGACCAGAGGAGAGGCCUUUCUUAACAUUCUUUUAAAGUUAAUUUCCUCUUCUUUCCAAAAGUAAUUCAUAGCUGUUAUUGAAAAUACCAUUGAUAAGCAGAACGGAGAAUAUGAUAAUUACCCCUAAUUGUACCGAGUGGUGAUUGCCCCUGCGAAAAUUUUGGUGCAUCUUCUUCUAGUCUGUUUCUGGUACAUGCAUAUGUAUGUAGGUGUAAAAUAUAUAAACACAUAUGAAUGGGAAAGGUAUUUUUAAAACUUUCAAACUGCAUUACAGUGUAAUGCAAAGUAUUUUAGCCCGCUUUUUGUUUCAAUCUGUCUCAAGCGUCUUUUCUUCCCAGUCUUGCGUCACGUCAUUUUCAGUGGCUCCGUGGUACUCCAUCAGCUGACCAUACCAUAAUUUACUUUAAUAAUCUCCUGUUAUUGAGUGUUUAGGUUGUGUCCCAGUUUCCAUCCCUCCUGCUCCCCGUUAAGCCUUGUUGUGAAAACAUUCUGACGAUUGGGGUUUUGGCGGAGAGGGCGGGUGUCAGCUGGUUUGAGCCUGCCCAGGUGAGCUCAGCAGCUCCCACCUCCACCUUGGAGGGGAGGAGACUUUGGAUUUCUCAGAGACAGUUGGACCCUCGCUGGGUGGGCCUGUGCCCGAGGCGCCUUGAGGACAACACAGAGAGCAACGUCCAGGCCUUCAAAUUUUGCCUGUGAUGCUAAUAAUUUUGACCUGAUUGACCAAAAUGAAAAAAGGCUUUGGAAGGCAAGAAUGUACUUGGCAGCAUGUGCAUGGCGUAGGAUCUAAAAACUGUGUCAAUACACGCGGUGAAGAAAACUUUGGAGUCAUUACAGCCACGUGGUAGCCUGGAAAUCAUGCAUUUUCAGCACCAUCCCGGGGAGGGAGGAGGACAAUGCGGCACAGAGCAGCCUGCCCAUGUUGAAGGUGGAAUCCCAGCUCACAGAGGUACGGAUGCUGGGGAAGAGAUGCUUCCUUGGGAGCGGCUGCUGCCGCUAAGAUGCCAGUUUGCCCGGUUACCCCCUCAGUCAAAAGGACAGUUGCACCAGGUCUGCCUACUAGGGACACUUGGGGAACCCCACGUCCUUGGGGCCUGAGCACCAAGAAACUGUGGCCCAGCUGUGUAUCGUGCUCUUGUUCUGCCAGAGCCCAGAGGACUUGCGGAGGGAGCAGUCCUGACCCAGGAAAUAGUCUUAGCAGCCCCACUGUGCACACAGAGGCUUUAUCCUGAGCUGGGGGCCUCCCCGGCCUCAGGACGGAUUGGAGGCAGCGGAUCCCAUCUGCCUCGUGAGCCCCCAUCACUCAUGGAGAAAACGGGAUGACCUAGAAGCCAGGGUUGGGGAAAACAGGGAUUAGCACCGACAAGGAACCCACCUGCCUAAGGACAGAACAGCCAGGCAGGGCUCUGGACUUGAGGUGGCCUUUGGCCGGGGCAGAUUCCAGCAGAGCCCUUAGCAUCUGCGUGCGAGGCUCUGUCAGAAGGGACAGCACACCCUCCCCCCGCUGGGGAGGAGGCCAAGGGAACCCAGGCCACCUGGAGGGAUUCUGGAAUGACUGGGGUGUGGCAGAGAGGAGAGGACAGUGGUCUGAUUGGUUCCCAGGACCCAACCCGAGCAGAGAAGGUGGGGAAUUGGGGUGAUCUGCUCUGCGCGCCUAGUCACUCUUUCUCCACGGGCAUUCAGUAUCACCCACACCCCCUCUGUGCCGGGCAGCAUUGUCCAUGUGAAGUGUAUGAAUAAGACAGGACCCUGAAGGAGCCGUGGUCACUACACUGCAGAGGCAGAGAGCCCUCUCUGAAUACGUCAUCACAGCGCAGCACGAUGGGCACCGGAGCAGGAGGAACUGAGGGCAAAAGAUACGACCCCACACCAGCACUUACACCAGCACUGUCUAGUAUGUUCCUCCUAGUUUUCUCACUUUUCUUAGCGUUGUCUUCACAAAUGGAUUGUAAGUGCCUUUAGGGCAGAGACCAGCUUUCUGCCUCUUUAUGAUAAGUAGUGGUCAGUGCUUUUAAAUUGACCAACCAUGAAAACUACAAUGAGAUACCACCUCACUCCCGUCAGAAUGGUAUAAUUAACAAGACAGGAAACAAUAAGUGUUGGAGAGUAUGUGGAGAGAAGGGAACCAUCAUGCACUGCUGGCGGGAGCGCAAACACUAUGGAAAACAGUGUGGAGAUUCCUCAAAAAAUUGAGAAUAGAUCUACCAUAUGAUCCAGCUAUUCCACUGCUGGGUAUUUAUCCAAAGAACUUGAAAACACAAAUGCAUAAAGAUACAUGCACCCCUAUGUUCAGCGCAGCAUUAUGCACAAUAGCCAAGACUUGGAAGUAACCUAGGUGCCCAUCAGGGGACAAAUGGAUAUAGAAGAUGUGGUAUAUAUACACAACGGAAUACUACUCAGCCGUAAGAAACGAUGAAAUCCAGCCAUUUGUGACAACAUGGAUGGACCCUGAGGAUAUUAUGCUAAGUGAAAUAAGUCAGAGGGAGAAAGUCAAAUACCAUAUGAUCUCACUCAUAAAAAGAAGAUAAAAACAACAAAGAACAAUCUCACAGAGACAGAGAUUGGAUUGGUGGUUACCAGAGGGGAAGGGGAGAGGGAGGAAGGUGAAAGGGGUGAUUAGGCUCAUGUGUGUGGUGAUGGAUUGUGAUUAGUCACUGGGUGGUGAACAUGAUGUAAUCUACACAGAAAUCAAAAUAUGAUGUACACCCGAAAUUUAUAUAAUGCUACCCAAUGUUAUCACAAUAACAAUAAUUAAUUAAGUAAGUAAGUAAUUAAUUAAAUUGACCAACUAGCCUUGAACCCUGGGGAACCCAGGCCAUCUUGGGGGGUGGGCUGAUAUGUUUGGCGAUUAUAGCCCCACAGUCUUUUUAGGAAAGGAGGCAGAAAAGCUCCUGGGGCUGGUUAACUCAGGCUCUGCUUCCUGAGAGGCCUGCUUAAAGUCUCUUGUCCAUCAGCUGAGCUGCUUUGGGCAAGUUACUUCACCUCUCUGAGGCUGUUUCCCUAGCUGUAAGAGUAGAUGACGAUGCUGACCUCACAGUGUCUGAAGAGCUGCCUUAGAGCUGUGCCCAGCUGUGGCGAGCACUCAGAACAGGGCGUGGCUGCUCAGGACUCCAGCUCUGAGUCCCUUUAUCUUGUUCCAUCAGGCGCUGGCUCUUUCUAGAACCGACCUUCUCUGUUCUGCUCUAAGCUAGACUCUGGAGGUCCAGAAAGAGAUUAGUUUUUGAGGUUUACUUUUAGGUAAAAAGGGAGGAUUUAAAAAAAAUGCUUUGACCUGCUGUUGGCUGUUUGAAAGACGUGCGGUAUAACUAGGAGGAGAGAAAGGACCAGGUGACGUGUAGACCAGAGGGGUGUUCAGUCUUAAAAAAUGACUCUCUAGGAGAAGAUGCAAACAGACAGAAAAGUAGAAAGAAUAGUAUCAGUGUAACGAACAUCCACCGCCUAAAUGUUUUUCAUUGUAGUAAAGCAAAUAAAACAUAAAAUUUACCGCUUUCACCACUUUUAAGUGUACAGUUCAGUGGCAUUAAGUACACUCACAAUGUUGCGUCGCCAUCGCCACCCCCUAUCUCCAGACCUUUUUCACCAUCCUACACUGGAACUCUGUCCCCAUCAAACGCUGACUCCCCAGCCCCUCCCCCAGCCCCUUGGAACCACCUCUCUGCUUUCUGUCUUUAUGAAUUCGACUAUUCUGGCUAGCUUAUAUAAGUUCACCACCU
ensembl:lncRNA